rnacentral:rRNA from 1 species
CGCGGUAUUUUGACCGUGCGAAGGUAGCAUAAUCAUUAGUCUUUUAAUUGAAGGCUUGUAUGAAGGGUUGGACAAGAAGUUAGCUGUCUUAAUAAAAGGAUAUAAUUUAACUUUUAAGUGAGAGGGCUUAAAUAUUCUAAAGGGACGAUAAGACCCUAUAAAGUUUGACGUUUUUUUUGUUAGUAAAUGAAUUGGGUGGUUUAAAGUUUGUUAGCAGAUAGAUGUUUUGUUGGGGCGACAAGAAUAUAAGUGAUUUAACUGUUUUUAUGUUAAUACAAUAAUAAUUGAUUUUGUGAUCCUUGUUAAAGAUUAUUAGAGUAAAUUACUUUAGGGAUAACAGCGUAAUUUUUUUUGAGAGUUCUUAUCGACAAAAAAGUUUGCGACCUCGAUGUUGAAUUAAAAGUUCUUUAUGGCGUAGCAGUUAUAUAAGAGGGUCUGUUCGA